GUCUACGGCCAUGCCACCCUGAACAAGCCCGAUUCCAUCUGAUCCCGUCUGAUCUCAGAAACUAAGCAGGGUCGGGCCUGGUUACUACUUGGAUGGGAGACCACCUAGGAGCAGGUGGUGUAGGCA
ensembl:rRNA 5S_rRNA 5S ribosomal RNA